GCCUACGGCCAUACCACCCUAAAAGCGCCCGAUCUCAUCUGAUCUCGGAAGCUAAGCAGGGACGGGCUUGGUUAGUACGUGGAUGGGAGACCGCCUGGGAAAAACAGGUGCUGUAGACU
rnacentral:rRNA from 1 species